GAUCAAUGAUGAAAAUAGCCUGAUAUGAGCAUCAGAAGACCUUCCAGCCCACCCGAUGCAUGAUCUCUACAGUUCUGUGA